CAACCUGCCGAUAACUCGGGGAUAGCCUUUCGAAAGAAAGAUUAAUACCCGAUAGUAUAAUUAGACCGCAUGGUCUUAUUAUUAAAGAAUUUCGGUUAUCGAUGGGGAUGCGUUCCAUUAGGCAGUUGGUGAGGUAACGGCUCACCAAACCUUCGAUGGAUAGGGGUUCUGAGAGGAAGGUCCCCCACAUUGGAACUGAGACACGGUCCAAACUCCUACGGGAGGCAGCAGUGAGGAAUAUUGGUCAAUGGGCGCAGGCCUGAACCAGCCAAGUAGCGUGAAGGAUGACUGCCCUAUGGGUUGUAAACUCCUUUUAUAUGGGAAUAAAGUUUUCCACGUGUGGAAUUUUGUAUGUACCAUAUGAAUAAGGAUCGGCUAACUCCGUGCCAGCAGCCGCGGUAAUACGGAGGAUCCGAGCGUUAUCCGGAUUUAUUGGGUUUAAAGGGAGCGUAGGUGGACAGUUAAGUCAGUUGUGAAAGUUUGCGGCUCAACCGUAAAAUUGCAGUUGAUACUGGCUGUCUUGAGUACAGUAGAGGUGGGCGGAAUUCGUGGUGUAGCGGUGAAAUGCUUAGAUAUCACGAAGAACUCCGAUUG
rnacentral:rRNA from 1 species